rnacentral:rRNA from 1 species
AAACAAAGGGAAGCAGCCCUGUGAAGGUGAGCAAAUCCCAAAAAUAACGUCCCAGUUCGAAUUGUAGUCUGCAACCCGACUACAUGAAGCUGGAAUCGCUAGUAAUCGCGGAUCAGAAUGCCGCGGUGAAUACGUUCCCGGGUCUUGUACACACCGCCCGUCACACCAUGGGAGUCGGAAAUGCCCGAAGCCGGUGACUCAACCUUUAAGGAGAGAGCCGUCGAAGGCAGGUCUGAUAACUGGGGUGAAGUCGUAACAAGGUAGC